ACAUGGCCGACGCCGGUCAAAGUGUAACGUACCUGUUCUUAUCAGCUUAAUAUCUCAUACGGAUUGUAUUUUGACCCAAGAUAUUAAACACAUUUUUGCAAGUAGGCAGAGUGCUUGAAGCCUGCUUCACCUCCGCCACGGGUCGGCCCGGUAUUGCACUAUAUUCGGGAUUUUUGGUCUACGGACA
rnacentral:snRNA from 1 species